rnacentral:rRNA from 1 species
GCUUACGGCCAUACCACCUUAGGCACGCCCGAUCUCGUCUGAUCUCGGAAGCUAAGCAGGGUCGGGCCUGGUUAGUACUUGGAUGGGUGACCGCCUGGGAAUACCAGGUGCUGUAGCAU